CAUUACACUAGCGCUGUGCUUGGUAUCGGCAGUGUUUGCAGCACUGUGCUGAUUACUUUAAUAUUCUGCCGCUAAAUCUGUCCUGUUUUUUUCUCUCUCUCAGACUAACAUAUUGGGAAACGUCGGCUUCAGUUCUGCUGCGAAUGUUGGAGAAUCCGGAUCGUGCACAUAAAGGCCUGCUUAUAAGUGGUCAGUGUUACACAGGGUUGGGGAGUAACGGAAUUCAAAAAACCGGAACCGGAAUCUGUUACGUUACCGUUACUGCUGUCAGCAUGCAAAGCUUAUCCAACUUGAAUAAACUCUUGGAGACUGAAGUUGGAAAAUGAGGGCUCCAGUUAAAGUCUCAGCGAUUGACUCUUCUGUCUGGAAUACCUGCGUCUGUAACAAAACUCUAAAAUGGGAUAAAGAAGCAGUUGAGACUUAAAGCCAACUUAAGACUUCAAUUCAUGGAACUUGACCUCGACAGCAGAUGUCCAGGACAAAGGACAAUGACCCAACACAACUCCAGGCAUCAAUCCAAGAUGGUAGGCAAUCACUGUCCGUUUGUAUGUGUGAUCCUUGAUAUCAGAGUUAAGAGUUGUUAUGUUUUAAUGACCCUGAUCCUGUUUCCUGAAGCAAAUACUUUUUAUGUGAAGGUGGAUGCUAUAUAUAACAACUUAUUUUUAGAUCAGUCUCUAUUUUACGAAAUGUCUUUGUACAAAGAUUUUGGAUUGAGAAGGCCUUUAUUUUUUUUCUACACCUUUCUGGAGUUGGAGCUCGCUGUGUCAGGAGCGUCUGUCUGUGCGCAAGGCCUGCUACACAAGAGCAGGUGCACACUGAAGACUAACACGGAACCAAACCGGCUGCGCGCGUGUGCCAUCGUGCAUACAUUUAUUUUGUCCCCCCACACCAAACGGGAUCACGACAUGAUCAAAACAAUAUCAAAGCAAACUCUGAACCAAUUAUAUUAUUUGGGGACAGGUCGAAAAGCAUUAACCAUUUAUGGCAAUUUAGCUAGUUAGCUUGCACUUGCUAGCUAAUUUGUCCCAUUUAGCUAGCUUUCUGUUUAGCUAGCUUUCUGUUGCUAGCUAAUUUGUCCUGGGAUAUAAACAUUGACACAUAAACACUUUUUUGGUUACUACAUGAUUACUACAUGAUUCCAUAUGUGUUAUUUCAUGGUUUGGAUGUCUUCGCUAUUAUUCUUCAAUGUACAAAAUAGCAAAAAUAACGAUAAACCCUUGAAUGAGUAGGUGUGUCCAAACAUUUGACUGUAAGUGUUCAGACCUCUGGCAGAUAUGACAACCUCUAGUCUUCUUGGGUAUGACGCUACAAGCUUGGCACACCUAUAUUUGGGGAGUUUCUCCCAUUGUUCUCUGUAGAUCCUCUCAUGCACUGUCAGGUUGGAUGGGAAGCGUCACUGCACAGCCAUUUUCUUUCUUCAGAGAUGUUUGAUUGGGUUCAAGUCCGGGCUCUGGCUGGGCCACUCAAGGACAUUCAGAGACUUGUCCCGAAGCCACUCCUCUGUCUUGGCUGUCUGCUUAGGGUUGUUGUUCAGUUAGAAGGUGAACCUUCGCCUCAGUCUGAGGUCCGGUGCGCUCUGAAGCAGGUUUUCAUCAAGGAUAUUAUAUCUGUACCUAAUCUGUAAGUUUUUCCUUCAACCUGACUAGUUUCCCAGUCCCUGCCGCUGAAAAACAUCCCCACAGCAUGAUGCUGACACCACCAUUCUUCACCAUAGGGAUGGUGCAAGGUUUCCUCCAUACGUGACACUUUGUUCAUCAAACCAGAGAAUCUUGUUUCUCAUGGUCUAAGAGUCCUUUUGGUGGCUUUUGGCAAAUUCCACGCGGACUGUUAUGUGCCUUCUGAGGUGUCGCUUCCGUCUGGCCACUCUACCAUAAAAGCCUGAUUGGAGGAGUGCUGCAGAGGUGGUUGUCCUUCUGGAAGGUUCUCCCAUCUCCACAGAGGAACUCUGGAGCUCUGUCAGAGUGACCGUUGGUUUCUUGGUAAUCUCCCUGACUAAGGUUCUUCUCGCCCGAUUGCCCAGUUUGGCUGGGUGGCUAAAUCUAGGAAAUGCUGGUGGUUCCAAUCUUCUUCAAUUUAAGAAUGAUGGAGGCCACUGUGUUCUUGGUGACCUUCAAUGCUGCAGAAAUGUUUUGGUACCCUUCCCCAGAUCUGCGCCUCGACACAAUCCUGUCUCUGAGCUCUAUGGACAAUUCCUUUGACCUCAUGACUUGGUUUUUGCUCUGACAUGCACUGUCAACUGUGGGACCUUAUAUAGACAGGUGUGUGCCUUUCCAAAUCAUGUCCAAUCAAUUUAAUAUACCACAAGUUGUAGAAACAUCUCAAGGAUGAUCAAUGGAAACACGAUGCACCUUUGCUCAAUUUCGAGUCUCAUAGCAAAGGGUCUGAAUACUUAUGUAAUAAGGUAUUUUUGUUUAUUUUUAAUACAUUUGCAAAAACAUCAAAAAAUCUGUUUUUGCUUUGACAUUAUGAGGUAUUGUGUGUAGACUGAUGAUUUAAAAAAAAAUCAAUUUUAGAAUAAGGCUGUAACGUAACAAAACGUGGAAAAAGUCAAGGGGUCUGAAUACUUCCCGAAUGCACUAAGUGUCUGUUGACAGAUGUUGCUCCGGUUUUGUGGUGAAACAAAGGUGUGGUUAAAUGUAUUCUGCCACUGUGUCUUAUUGUCUCGGCCUUAGUUCAUAUGCGUUCCCUCCGUGAUACAUACGCCUAACAGGUUAAGUAAUCAGAUUGAGUUGGAUGAACAUAAGUCCAAUAGCUAGAAGAGAAAAUGUAUUCAAUUUGGAGAUAUAUGAUUCAGUUGUGUUUGAUAAACAUGUAUACAUUUAGUCAGACAUUUUUUUAUUAUUAUUUCUAAAUUUAAUACCGUUUCAAUAACACAAGUAAGUUAAGUAAAUCUCUAUUCAUCAUUUCAUGUAAAAAUAAAUGUUUUCCACUAGGCUUAACUACUAUCCCCACCCCAAAAAUAUAUUUGAUUGUGUAGUAAGUGUGUGUAUCUGUGUGCGUGUCUACAUGUACACUUGUGGGAGUGCGUAAAUCACAAGUUAAAGAAUCUUUACACAACUUCCAACCAACAUAUUUGGGUUCUUCCUGCUCCAAAUGUUUCAUCAUGGAUUCCAAAUAAACUAUUCAUGUUUGGCGUUGAGUGUGUAUUUGACUCAGGUUUCCUUUCUUCUCCAAGAACAAGAUAAACCUUGAUCACAUAUCUGUUGUAUAAUUCACUGGGUACAAACAUCCUAGCUAGCUUGGUGCUGUAGUUACUACAGAACACAGAUAAAUAUGAAUCAUACCAAACAGUGUAUGUUCCUGUGUGUGUGUUUUUAUAUUAGUGUGCAUAGAACUGUGCAAUUAGUGUGCAUAGCACCGUAAGCACCCUUGGGUCAUCGUGCUGUGACCCACACAAUGCUACACUGCUGAUAAGAAUCUAAAUGAAUCUCCAAGCUGAGUUCUGAUUACGAGAGCAUGAGACCAGGGGCACUUGUUAGCUUGAUAGCUAGCAUCCAUCCACAGCACGCAGCUGAGCAUGAAAUCUCAAAUUACACGGCCUAUACAUAUUGAUGACUUCAGGCAAUACUUGGAGCCAGGUUUUAGUGAGGCUGGUCAGGUGUUUGUUAUAAUAUCAUGCUGAUCCCAGACUAGCAAUUGGCUGUGGUCCCAAGGGUAUUUGAGUGUGAGUUGAACUGUUCCAGGACUUGUUGUCUAUAAUUGCAUAUUAAAUCUGACAUUAUGGAAGCUAUAGCCUCUUAGAAAGAAAAUGGAGAGCCCUUUUUGUUCCAGGUAGAACCCAUUCCACAGCCGAAGAAACCCUUUGGAACCCUUUUUUUUCUAAGAGUGUAGGGAGGACUAUACCACAUUUCUGGAAAAAAAUGUAGCCUGGCUUGAGCGCCAACACUGGUGUCAUUAUCAUGAUUUGGAGUCUCUGCUGUAUUUCAGACUUCAAAUCCCACAGACACCCCAGCUGGUGAUUACAUCAUACAAAACUCAGUAAUGCGCCAGACCAACUCCCUAACAACAUGGCAGCUAGCAUAUUACCCACUGAUGGAUGACAGUACCUGUGCGUGCGUUCAUGUGCUCAACGUUUUGGGGGGAAUCGACUCCCAUUCAACUCAUGAGUGAAAUUGAAAUUGAAUUGGCCACACCCAACAGGAUUUAGAAUUUGAGUUAGAGUGACAGGAAUUAUAAUUUGUUCAGUGUAAUUCAAAGAAAUUCCACGAAUCUGACAGGUCACACUUCCAGAUACAAAGAAUAUAUAAUCUGGAAACAAUGUUCAUAUACUCUUUUGUUUGACUUCUUUUUGAAGGCCUAAUGGCCAAUUUGAGAGUUAAAUGAAUGCAUUCAUGGAAAUGUUGUAUUUUUUACCCAUAUUUAAGAAAAUAUAAGGGAUUAAUGAAUAUUUGCAUACAGGUUUUGUUAUCCUUGAUCAUUCAUUUUAAAACCUGUUGAGGACAGAGGGCGCUGUUUUCACUUUGGGGGAAAAUCGUGUCCAAUUUAAACGGCCUCGUACUCAAUUCUUGCUCGUACAAUAUGCAUAUUAUUAUUACUAUUGGAUAGAAAACACUCUCUAGUUUCUAAAACCGUUUGAAUUAUAUCUGUGAGUAAAACAGAACUCCUUUUGCAGCAAACUUCCUGACAGGAAGUGGAAAAUCUGAAAUCGAUGCACUCUUCUAGGGGCUGCCUAUUAAAGUCCUUGAUAUUUAUUAGUUUAGAUGCACUUCAUACGUCUUCCACUAGAUGUCGACAAGCAGUGAGAGAAGAAAUUGAGUGUGUAACUUGAUCUGGGCUUGAACAAUAGCUCUUGGCAUGACGUGUCACCAGUUUCCUGUUUUCUGGAGAACGCGAGAAGGGACCUGGAUUUGCCUUCUGAUAAGCUGUCGUUAUGGACGACUAAUAUCUCCGGCUUUGAUUUUAUUUGAUACAUGUGACAAUAUCAUCGUGAAGUAUGUUUUUUCAAUAUAGUUUA